ACGUAGGUGGCGAGCGUUGUCCGGAAUUAUUGGGCGUAAAGAGCAUGUAGGCGGUUUUAUAAGUCUGGAGUGAAAAUGCGGGGCUCAACCCCGUAUGGCUCUGGAUACUGGAAGACUUGAGUGCAGGAGAGGAAAGGGGAAUUCCCAGUGUAGCGGUGAAAUGCGUAGAUAUUGGGAGGAACACCAGUGGCGAAGGCGCCUUUCUGGACUGUGUCUGACGCUGAGAUGCGAAAGCCAGGGUAGCGAACGG
rnacentral:rRNA from 1 species